rnacentral:rRNA from 1 species
GUGAGGAAUAUUGCGCAAUGGGGGCAACCCUGACGCAGCAACGCCGCGUGAGUGAGGAAGGUCUUCGGAUCGUAAAGCUCUGUCGGGUGGGAAGAAGUGUAUAUAAGUUAAUAGCUUGUGUACUUGACGGUACCGCCAAAGGAAGCACCGGCUAACUCCGUGCCAGCAGCCGCGGUAAUACGGGGGGUGCAAGCGUUGUUCGGAAUCAUUGGGCGUAACGAGCGUGUAGGCGGCUAGGCAAGUCAGAUGUGAAAUCCCUGGGCUUAACCCAGGAAGUGCAUUCGAAACUGCUUAGCUUGAGUAAGGAAGAGGGAAGUGGAAUUCCUGGUGUAUAGGUGAAAUUCGUAGAUAUCAGGAGGAACACCGGUGGCGAAGGCGACUUCCUGGUCCUAUACUGACGCUGAGACGCGAGAGCGUGGGGAGCAAACAGGAUUAGAAACCCCGGUAGUCC